GUCAACUACCCCGCCCUAAAGGACGGAGCUUGCAAAAACUAGGUUGACCAGACUCAGUGCCGCAAGGCACUACGCAGAUAAGAGGUCGUUAAGACUUACCAAGGGAUGCUUCCUUAGUCCCUUGCUCUAAAAGGCAGUGAUCACGCUGGCGCAAGGUAAAACGCCGAAGGUUGCAGCCGUU
rnacentral:ncRNA from 1 species